rnacentral:rRNA from 1 species
GAUGAACGCUAGCUACAGGCUUAACACAUGCAAGUCGAGGGACCGGCGCACGGGUGAGUAACACGUAUCCAACCUGCCCUUUACUCGGGGAUAGCCUUUCGAAAGAAAGAUUAAUAACAGAUAUAAAGGAUGGGGAUGCGUUCCAUUAGGUUGUUGGGGAGGUAACGGCUCACCAAGACUUCGAUGGAUAGGGGUUCUGAGAGGAAGCUCCCCCACAUUUGAACCUCGCCCCGGUCCCAACUCUUACCGGACGCUGCAGUGAGGAAUAUUGGUCAAUGGGCGCUAGCCUCAACCUACCAAGUAGCGUGAAGGAUGAAGGCUUAUGGGUCGUUAACUUCUUUUAUAUACGAAUAUGUAUUAUAUGAAUAUUCACCGGCUAACUCCGUGCCAGCAGCCGCGGUAAUAC